GAUUCCGUCUUGAGGAGGUGCUUGAUCUUAUCGUUGUAGACAUCAAGAGCCAAGAUCGUGUGCGGCGUCUCCAUCAACAACUUCUCACAAAGGUGGGAGCCAAUGAAACCUCCAGCACCAAUCAUGCAUAUUGUGAUCGGCCUUAUCGGCCUCCCAUCCAGAUCCACCCUAUUCAUCGCCGUCGCCAUUGUCUCAAACAAUCACCA
rnacentral:misc_RNA from 1 species